CGAAAUAGCUCAAUAGGUAGAGCAACUGAUUUGUAAUCAGUAGGUUCCGGGUUCGAUUCCUGGUUUCGGC
rnacentral:tRNA from 2 species